AUUGCUUUGGCAGAAUAGUGUAAUAGAUUUAGGAUCUUUUAAUGUAGUUUAUGGAACUAUAAGUAAUA
rnacentral:tRNA from 1 species